CAGCCGCCGCGGUAAUACAGAGGGUGCAAGCGUUAAUCGGAAUUACUGGGCGUAAAGCGAGCGUAGGUGGUUUGUUAAGUUGGAUGUGAAAUCCCCGGGCUCAACCUGGGAACUGCAUCCAAAACUGGCAAGCUAGAGUAUGGUAGAGGGUGGUGGAAUUUCCUGUGUAGCGGUGAAAUGCGUAGAUAUAGGAAGGAACACCAGUGGCGAAGGCGACCACCUGGACUGAUACUGACACUGAGGUGCGAAAGCGUGGGGAGCAAACAGGAUUAGAUACCCCCGUAGUCCCUGUCUCUUAUAC
rnacentral:rRNA from 1 species